UGCGCUGCUAGUGUAAUGGAUAGCACACAGGAUUCCGGUUCCUGGGAUGUGGGUUCGACUCCCACGUGGCGCAU
rnacentral:tRNA from 1 species